GAUGAACGCUGGCGGCGUGCCUAAUACAUGCAAGUCGAGCGAACGGACGAGAAGCUUGCUUCUCUGAUGUUAGCGGCGGACGGGUGAGUAACACGUGGAUAACCUACCUAUAAGACUGGGAUAACUUCGGGAAACCGGAGCUAAUACCGGAUAAUAUUUUGAACCGCAUGGUUCAAAAGUGAAAGACGGUCUUGCUGUCACUUAUAGAUGGAUCCGCGCUGCAUUAGCUAGUUGGUAAGGUAACGGCUUACCAAGGCAACGAUGCAUAGCCGACCUGAGAGGGUGAUCGGCCACACUGGAACUGAGACACGGUCCAGACUCCUACGGGAGGCAGCAGUAGGGAAUCUUCCGCAAUGGGCGAAAGCCUGACGGGGCAACGCCGCGUGAGUGAUGAAGAUCUUCGGAUCGUAAAACUCUGUUAUUAGGGAAGAACAUAUGUGUAAGUAACUGUGCACAUCUUGACGGUACCUAAUCAGAAAGCCACGGCUAACUACGUG
rnacentral:rRNA from 1 species